GAUAUUGAUGAUCUCAGUGAUGACACUUUGUUCAUGUUGCGGAAGCUUUUAGAUGACUAUUUGCAAGAGAAACAAAAGAAUGAAGCAAGGGGGGAACCUUGUGAGAUAGAGCUAUUGAAUGUAUCUGGGCUAAGCAAUUCAUCCAUGCAACAACAAAAAGGGAAUGACCCUGCUGAUGAGGAUGUUGAUAUUGGUGGUAACGAGCCUCUUGUCUCAAGCUAUCCUCCUGUGGAGAUAGAAAAGGAUACAGGCCACAAUAGCACUAAAUGUAUCAGUUCAAGCAACUCCAGUGAGUCAUGUCCAGAAUCUGUUAGCGGGUUG
rnacentral:misc_RNA from 1 species